rnacentral:rRNA from 1 species
ACUCCUACGGGAGGCAGCAGUGGGGGAAUAUUUGCACAAUGGGGCGCAAGCCUGAUGCAGCCAUGCCGCGUGUAUGAAGAAGGCCUUCGGGGUUGUAAAGUACUUUCAGCAGUGAGGAAGGUGGAGUCGUUAAUAGCGGCUCAUUUGACGUUAGCUGCAGAAGAAGCAUCCGGCUAACUCCGUGCCAGCAGCCGCGGUAAUACGGAGGGUGCGAGCGUUAAUCGGAAUUACUGGGCGUAAAGCGCAUGCAGGUGGCUUUGUUAAGUCAGAUGUGAAAGCCCGGGGCUCAACCUCGGAAUUGCAUUUGAAACUGGGCAGACUAGAGU